rnacentral:lncRNA from 10 species
CUGGCGUGCGCGGACGGUGUGCGGCGCACACAACCAAGCUUAGGAGCCGACUGUUAAGAUGCCCCAGUGACACGGACAAGUUUCUCCUCUGCAACCCAAUGAGAGCUGCUGACCACGAGAGCAUCGCGGGACCGCCAAAGGAUUCUGGAAAAUGUGGUCCCGGGUGGCCAGUGUGCGCUGACCUUCACCUGAAGGUACGGCUUGAAGGAAACUUCUGGAGGGUGGGGUGGUGUUGAAGAGAAGGCACAAUUGUCACCAUUUUGUUCAACAUGGGCGUUUUCUUUGUGCAUUGAUUUGCAUUUUUAAAGGAACUCCUCCUCAAAACAGAAGAAGCCUAUAGGAUUUUAACCUGGAAACUACUCAGGGAAUCUGGAAUAUUCCUUCCAGGGAUAUCUGCAGCUGAAACCUGGCAGUAAUUUAAACAAAACCAGACAACUCUUGGGGUAUGGUUGGAGCCUGAGGUCUACAGAUGGGUCAUUUUAUAUGCUGAGGUCUGAACAAGAUGAUUUUAACCCCUUAAAAUGAUGGAAACAAAAUAAAACAGAAUAAAUUAGAAGACAACACAGGUGAGUAGUUUAAAG